AAGAGCGCGGUUACCCGGAGACUCUCCGGCACCUCCCCGGCACGGACGGGCUCUCCGCGAGAGGCCGGAGGAUGUAGGAGCGGGCGCGGCCCUGAGAAGCGUGGUGUGAAUUUAAACGCAUGGAAGUGCCGAGCUGCUAGAGCCAAGGAUUUUAGUGCGAACAGAAAGCAGAAAUAAUUUUCAGAAUGUGCUCGAAUAGACAAAUAAAAGCCAAAGCAUGAGUAAA